ACACCACAGUAAAGGUAUAAUUAAUUAAACCUCCAGUAACAAAGUUCAGAUUACAUCUAAAAAUAGCCUCCAUAGUCCACGUAUGCACACACCUCAGAACAUCCCAGCCACAAGCGUUAAUGUGAGUCAGAAAUUAAGAUUGUUCAUUACAAACAUUAUGAGACAUUGUUUAAACUCAAGCAUGUCAUGAUCUCAAGUCCAUGCAUCCCAGCAGCUUGCAACUAAAUAAAGUUGGCACUUUUACCACAAUGUGAACACUUGCUUUUUUUUGUGAAUGAAAUGUAAACUUUAUUCGUUGAGAUGUGCAGCUCUAGAGAAAUGAAAGUAGGUGUUUUAAAGAGCGUGUGCACUAUGUGAGACAUAAUGUGUGUCACACGCUUCCCGUGAAGGUUAUAAAGGAAAUCAUAAAAAACAUUGCUGCACAACUUUAUACGAUAUUCAUCAUUCCUAACAUUGACACACCUUAUGAUCAUUAUCACCAGUUGACUGUACAGCAGCCUUGUGCACCACCUGCCACAUUCAAAACAAAACUUACUAGAGGCAGAGAUAAACUCAGAUGUUUAUCAAAGUACAAGCAUUUAUUUUUCUCUGCUUUCACCUCAAUCCGCUACAACCCAAACUACUCUCACUCAUGUAGUUGCUUCUUCACUUUAUAACGUCAUACAUGCGUCCAUUAAACAUUCAACGACACCCACUUGAAUAAAAAUAGCAAAUGAAACUAUGGAGCCUCAUGUGUUCAAUGUUGAACAGAAACAGAGUACAUUAUGAAACAUUCUAUAACACAUAGUAUAAAAUAUAUAAAGAAAUAUACUUUUUUUAUUCUAAAAGGCUCAACUUCAUUAGGCCAUUAAUAGAUGUUACUUAACCAUUCUUACAUUUGAACAAAUGUUAAUUUGAUUUAAAUAUAUUUUCUCCCCUAGUUUUAAGCUAGCAAGCUCAACAAAUGCUACCAACUUUAACUAGUUAGCUUGUGUUAGCAUUAGCAAAAACAACACCCUACUAAUUACAAUUCAACCAACUAAUAACAGAGACAAUGACUAACCUUUUAUUUGUUUAGCUCAACAAGCAUAGACAUGCUAACUAACUUCUAACUAGCUAGGAUAGUUUGUUAGUAAUAUUAGCUUGUAGCUAAAGCGACCACAGACUGUGUUUAUGCUCAUCUAGUUAGCAGCAUGUGUGCAGUCUUCUUUGAAAAAACCCAACAUACGUAUAUAACUAAAAGGCUAGUUUCUGUCUCUGCUGUUUUUUUGUUUUUUUUACAGCUUGUUAAUGUUUAGUUGAAUCAGAAUUACUUUGACGUUAUCUUUGCAAGAUCAGGAGUAAACUGGCUAAAUUUGAUAGCAGUGGUUGAGCUUGUUUGCACAGAAGUUGUUAAAUUGAUAAUUUAACAUAUUGUAUCUAUCCAUUUGACAAUUCAUGUUAUAAUUAGGGCUCCAUACUAACUCAAGUGACUGCUUAUUUAUCAGAUAGGGGUUGCUACUCUGUUUUUUUUUGUAUACCCACUGGGUAAUUUUUGUGCAAGUACAAUGAGUUAAUACUUUCAAGAAAUCUGGUAAUUUAUAGCACACUCUACUAAGUCAGCAGUCAUCAUGUCUUAAACUUUCUAUACGCACCUUGUCGACAUUUAAGGACAGUAACCUACUUAUAUUUCCCGCUCUUGGUGCAAUGUGCAAGUGACAACAGAUCUUGUAUGAACAAAAUGGCCAAUUAUGACUUUGUGACUGCUUUUAUAUUUUGUCAUGAUUUGGAAACUCUCUGAAUAAAAUCAUUUUACAAGCAGUGACCACAACACAUCUGAUCAAAUACAACACAGUAAAACAUAAUAUGUUACAUAGCACAAAAUACAAUUAAAUGAAUGUCAAUUUCUUUUUUUAAAUCAUCACCCAAAGCCGAAACAGCAAAACAUGAAUGAGCAGAAUAACAUGAAUUAUAAAAGUGUUGAUGCAUGGUCUGCUUAACGUUAGAUAAGCAACAGGUUUUUCUCCCCUUGAUUUGUUUCCAGUUAUUUAAACUAAAUCAGUAUACGUAAAACAACAAUAUAUAGGCAUUAAAUAAAUUAAUCAAGUUCAAAACAAACACAGUGAUAUAUUCAAAAUGCAUAUAUUUACAACCAAAUAAAAUGAAAAAACUAAACCUCGUCUUUUAGGGUGAAUGAUGUUGGAAUUAAUUUUAAUUGACGGUUAGCUGAAUACCUUCAAAGCAAUAUUUACCUCUUGAUUUCCUACAUAAAUGUAUUGGCUAUUAUCAGGUAUUCACCAUUAAUACAUUUCUUUUAGUAUGUUUAUACUUUUGCAGCAUUUACUAAGUUGAUAUGUACUUGGUACUUGAAAAUCCAAAUUUGACAUAAUCUGUGACUGACAUGUUUAUAGUAUGUGCCGAUUGGCUACCAAAGAAAAUUGUGAGCAUUGCCAAACACUUAAUGAAGUCACAGGGGCUGUGCCAUAGUGACAUUAAUACUGGUUGACGUUUGAGGAGUAGGAAACAGGAAGUGGAUGUUGAACAUAAAAAAAUGGGGGAGGGUGCGGCACAGCCAUGUUUCUAUGCUCAAUACACUUUGGUUUUAUUAAUCCAGUGACUACACCUCUCACCAGAAGCCUCUAGAGAGCAUCACACAGUUUUUUUUUCUUUUCUGAUGUGUACAGAUAUUGCAUGGACACACCACUGACAAACUACCACUAAAUUAUUAACAUGAAUCCGUUGCCUACUGAGAUUCUGAGAGAGAGAGAACAAAACAAGUCAAAGUCACUUGGUCACAUACAUCGAAAUUCACAAGUUGCUGUUUCAAAAAGCACUUCAAAUAAAAAGAAGAAGAAUAAAGUAAAAGAAAAUCGCCCAAAUCCAACCCUGCUAAGAUUUUGUACACUACUGGAAACACGUGCUAAGAUCUGGAAAGAAAAACCUGCCUUGUGGUUUGUAAAGUCACCAAAGCGGAGUGGCAAUUUAACAUUUGCUGCCAAUAAUCACAUCCAUUAAAUCUGGAAAAGACCAUUACCCACAGGUCAUAGCAGUAAGUACAACUGCCUCCCUUUUCCCGAAAAACUGUCUCCGUGAAAUGCAACGAUCACACUUUGUGUUCACUGGGAUCGAGCUAAAAGGGAAGGAGCUACCGCUUCACUUCGGGUCAGGUCGAGCGUGGGCUAGUCCGGACGCUGAAGGGAAAAAUCCACCCAGAAAUACUCAAAACACGGUCAUAAAUGUGUGUAAAUCAGUGCAUAUACCGGGGUAUAAUUAAGUGUUGACUACAAGUUGUAGUUGGUUUCAAAUGGUGGCGCUUGGCCAAUUAAUUUCUCCCUCUCUGUGCAAAACUACAAAAACACAGUUUGAAGAAGCUUGUUCUCUUUGAUUCUUAAAGGAUAAGUAAUAAAGAAAAAUAUACUUGAAAUAAAACUAAAGUAUUACUAAACUCAGAUGUGGCUUUACCGAUAAUUAGGACUAAAAGUAAGCCAAUGAAGUUUAAGUUCUAGAUUAAUGCUAACGUUUUUAGGCUAAUUUGCCAAAAGACAUAGGUACAUCUUGGGGUCAUAAACUCAAGUACUGGACAACAAAAAAACCCUGUUGGCUCUAGAUGAAAAGUCAGAAGAUCACCAAAGGCAUCAGGAUUUAUCCUAAGGCGGACCAUGAAUGCUUGUACCAAAUUUCAUGGCAGUCCAUCAAAUAUUUGUUUUACAUCUCAUCACUAAAUUGGCGGACCAACACUGCAUUAUGGGCCCGGUUCAAUCGAACGUACAGCAUACAGAGUUUGAGUAUCUCAGUGUGGACCGUCCCUUUAACAGUAGAAUAAAAGGCUUAAUCUGGCCUAGAUUAACUGUAAACUAUUAAACCUGCAGCUGCAAGCAUUAGAGGACUUUUGAAUGUUACUGUGUGACUUUGCUUGCAAAAGGGUCAAGUUGUACAGUAUGGUUGGUCUAACAAGAGUUUCCCCCCCAGUUUUUAACACUUUCCUGAACUGCAAACUUUCCGUCAUGCAGUUUCAAUAACUUCUUAUCUGGAUUACGUGAUUUGUUGAGAGGAUACAUUACAGUGCAGAUUUUUCCCUACAGACGAAAAUGCAUAGGAUAGAAAUCAGUCCAACACUACAGUAUACGGCGAGCAAUACAAAAGAAGAAGAAAAUAACGGAUCACGUGAACUGUGAUCGAAAUAAAAGUCUUGGUCAUUGGCACUGGGGUUGGAGUGGAGCGGUGAGGAGAAGGAAGGAGGGCCGGGAGAAAUUACUAGUCAAACACUGAUAGAUUAAACGUUAUCUGUUUUGUUUUUUUAAUCCUACAGCUUUGAUAGCAAUAAAAACGGGGGCAGAAAUAAACCCAAAGUCAUUCUCGACACUCUGAAGUCCUUAGCUAAUUUCAGAAUAAAAGUGCCCUCUUUAAAAGUCAGAGCUGAUUUUUGAAUAACUUGACGUGUGUGCCCGCCAUCCUUACACACACACACAAUCUCUCACACACACACAAUCUCUCACAGUUGUGUAACAUUUCGGGGUGAACACAAAGUCCGCUAAGGCUUCAACGCGGGGAGAAAAAGAGACACAGUGUUCGAGAGAGCAGUUUUUAUAGUGACGUUUCAACAGUCUUGCUAGCUAUUGUGAUGGUGCGUGGCGGGUUAUGAGUCGUCACAAUCUGCUUUAUGUACAGUUUAUCACAUGCCAUGUUUGCUUUCUGUCAUUUCCUCCCUUUGUUCACCUUGAUCCGCCCCUUGUUUUGUUUUUUUACUUCUAGAGACCUUACUUCUCCUACAAUGAAAUCUGUGCAACGAAUACAAUGGCAACAAAGGGGGGAAAUCAAAUGUGCCACGCAACACAACUAGAAGUGCUUGCUAAGUGUUUUUCAUCUCAAUUUGUCAAGGAGACACGCUAAGUAGUUUCAGAUUAGACAAAAUGAAGGUGAGUGAAACUGACAGUGGACAUUUGAGUGUCUUCUAUGAAACACACACUGCAGGGUCAAUAUAUUGUUUCUGAUAUAUUUCCUCUGAUAUAUUAUUUGUAUAUAUACAGCUCAUACAACAAACCUUCAUGCUAACUGUUUCCCCUUUGAUGAAAAGAGAGUUUAUGUGUUGAAAUAAUUGCUUUAACUUUCUCUAUAUUUUUCUAAAUAACUCUUGCUCUGAUUAUAAGCUAAAGGCAAAUAUUGGCUUUUCUAUGCAAAUCAACUUUAAAUAUCUUCUAAAAUAUAAGAAUUGUUUCCGCUUUUGAAACACGAUAUAAUAAUCUAUGUAAGAGUAAAGGGAGUGCAUACAGAACUGUCAUUUAACUUUUAUAUUAUGAUCACAGUGAACGCAUGUCAAUGUGGCCAAAGGAGGUCAAAAUAUGUAAUUGUUUUUAUUGUAAUGAACUAUAAUGGGCUUUAAAGGAAUAGCUCCACAUUUGGGAAACCUUUGAUUUGCCCUUAUGGCAAGUUAGAUGAAAGCUCCAUACCAAUCAUGUGUGAAUGUGGAAUUUACAUUAUUACUCAAGUCUAAAAAAAAA